GACGAACGCUGGCGGCGUGCCUAACACAUGCAAGUCGAGCGGGGACUUGUUGAGAAAGUCUUCGGAUGGAAUCGAUAAGUUCUAGCGGCGGACGGGUGAGCAACGCGUGAGCAACCUGCCCUCCACAGGGGGAUAACGCACCGAAAGGUGCACUAAUACCGCAUAAGACCACGUUUCUGACAUGGGGAUGAGGUCAAAGGAGCAAUCCGGUGGAAGAUGGGCUCGCGUCUGAUUAGCUAGUUGGUGAGGUAACGGCCCACCAAGGCGACGAUCAGUAGCCGACCUGAGAGGGUGAUCGGCCACAUUGGAACUGAGAGACGGUCCAAACUCCUACGGGAGGCAGCAGUGGGGAAUAUUGGGCAAUGGGCGAAAGCCUGACCCAGCAACGCCGCGUGAAGGAAGAAGGUUUUCGGAUCGUAAACUUCUAUCCUUGGUGA
rnacentral:rRNA from 1 species